rnacentral:rRNA from 1 species
UACGUAGGGGGCAAGCGUUGUCCGGAUUUAUUGGGCGUAAAGAGCUCGUAGGCGGUUCCGUAAGUCGUGAAGUCAAAUCUCUGGGCUCAACCCAGAAUCGCUUCCGAUACUGCGGUGACUGGAGUCCGGUAGGGGAGUGUGGAAUUCCUGGUGUAGCGGUGAAAUGCGCAGAUAUCAGGAGGAACACCAACAGCGAAGGCAGCACUCUGGGCCGGUACUGACGCUGAGGAGCGAAAAGCAUGGGGAGCGAAACAGG